GCAAACUUGGUCAUUUAGAGGAAGUAAAAGUCGUAACAAGGUUUCCGUAGGUGAACCUGCGGAAGGAUCAUUAACGUAUGUUUUCGGGUCGGUCUUCGGCCCUGCGCCGGCGGAGACGCCGUGCCGCGGGCCGCCGUCCGUUCCCUUCCAACAUUCAACCCCUGUGCACCUCUUGGGAAGGGCCCGCGAGGGCUCGGCCCCUUCAACAAACUCUUGAGUUUUGGAAUGUCUUGCGGACUUUUGUCCGUCUAAUGUCUAAACAACUUUCAACAACGGAUCUCUUGGCUCUCGCAUCGAUGAAGAACGCAGC
rnacentral:misc_RNA from 1 species